rnacentral:rRNA from 1 species
GACGAACGCUGGCGGCGUGCUUAGCACAUGCAAGUCGAACGGAAAGGCCCUGCUUUUGUGGGGUGCUCGAGUGGCGAACGGGUGAGUAACACGUGAGUAACCUGCCCUUGACUUUGGGAUAACUUCAGGAAACUGGGGCUAAUACCGGAUAGGAGCUCCUGCUGCAUGGUGGGGGCUGGAAAGUUUCGGCGGUUGGGGAUGGACUCGCGGCUUAUCAGCUUGUUGGUGGGGUAGUGGCUUACCAAGGCUUUGACGGGUAGCCGGCCUGAGAGGGUGACCGGCCACAUUGGGACUGAGAUACGGCCCAGACUCCUACGGGAGGCAGCAGUGGGGAAUAUUGCACAAUGGGCGGAAGCCUGAUGCAGCAACGCCGCGUGCGGGAUGACGGCCUUCGGGUUGUAAACCGCUUUCGCCUGUGACGAAGCGUGAGUGACGGUAAUGGGUAAAGAAGCACCGGCUAACUACGUG